rnacentral:antisense_RNA from 1 species
CUUCACCGAGCCCAGCCACAGCGGCCGGUCCGCGGCCCGGUCCUGGCCGUAGACGGCGAGCAGAGCCCGCGCCUC